rnacentral:rRNA from 1 species
CACGCCGUAAACGAUGGGUGCUAGGUGUCGCGGGCUUUGACCCCUGCGGUGCCGUAGCUAACGCAUUAAGCACCCCGCCUGGGGAGUACGGCCGCAAGGCUAAAACUCAAAGGAAUUGACGGGGGCCCGCACAAGCGGUGGAGCAUGUGGUUCAAUUCGACGCAACGCGCAGAACCUUACCUGGGCUAGAAAAUGCGAGAACCUGGUUGAAAGAUCGGGGUGCUCUUCGGAGAACUCGUAGUUAGGUGC